rnacentral:rRNA from 1 species
CAGUAGCCGCGGUAAUACGAAGGGGGCUAGCGUUGCUCGGAAUGACUGGGCGUAAAGCGUGCGCAGGCGAUUUGUUAAGACAGAUGUGAAAUCCCCGGGCUCAACCUGGGAACUGCAUUUAUGACUGGCAAGCUAGAGUAUGCAGAGGGGGGUGGAAUUCCGCGUGUAGCAGUGAAAUGCGUAGAUAUGCGGAGGAACACCGAUGGCGAAGGCAGCCCCCUGGGCCAAUACUGACGCUCAUGCACGAAAGCGUGGGGAGCAAACAGGAUUAGAUACCCCAGUAGUCCCUGUCUCUUAUACC